rnacentral:rRNA from 15 species
AGGUGCGAUCAUACCAGCACUAUAGCACUGGACCCAUCAGAACUCCGAAGUUAAACUUUCUUAGGCGAGAGUAGUACUCGAAUGGGUGACACCCUGGGAGGUCAUCGUAUUGUACUCU